AAAAGCUGUUGAAACUAUUGGGAUUACACAUCAAAAAGGAACAGAAAAAUAUAAUCAAUUACUUGAGAAAGAAAUCACUGCUACAAAAUUUAAAGAAUGUUUUAUUAGGAAAAGAAACUUAAGUUUGGAAGAAGAAAUAGAAAACCGUAAACGAGAUCAUAUGUCACAUUUCAUCUUAAGACUUGCUUAUUGUCGUUCAGAAGAUCUUCGUAGGUGGUUUCUAUUACAGGAGCUGGACUUGUUCAGAUAUCGUUUUCAGCUAGAGAGCAGCCAAAGUCGUGUGGAGUUUUUAGCGUCUAAUAAUCUUAAAUAUAAACCUGUAUGUAUACUAUAUUUUAUAUGUUAUUACAACUGUUCAAAAUAAUUAAUUUUGUUUUUUGUAAAAAUAGAUUUAGAUUUGUAUGUGAAUUACAUUGUUGUUAUAAAUCAUUGUUUUGGCUUAAAGGGAAACUCCGAUGGUUUUGACAAU
rnacentral:sRNA from 1 species